ACGGAGGGUGCGAGCGUUGUUCGGAAUCAUUGGGCGUAAAGGGCGUGUAGGUGGUCUGUUAAGUCAUGUGUGAAAGCCCUCAGCUUAACUGGGGAAGUGCGCAUGAAACUGACAGGCUAGAGUACCGAAGAGGAAGGUGGAAUUCCCGGUGUAGCGGUGAAAUGCGUAGAUAUCGGGAGGAAGGCCGGUGGCGAAGGCGGCGCUCUGGAACGUAUCUGACGCUGAGACACGAAAGCGUGGGGAGCAAACAGGA
rnacentral:rRNA from 1 species